rnacentral:rRNA from 1 species
AUUGAACGCUGGCGGCAGGCCUAACACAUGCAAGUCGAGCGAGCGGCGGACGGGUGAGUAAUGUCUGGGAAACUGCCUGAUGGAGGGGGAUAACUACUGGAAACGGUAGCUAAUACCGCAUACCAUCAGAUGGGCCCAGAUGGGAUUAGCUGGUAGGUGGGGUAACGGUUCACCUAGGCGACGAUCCCUAGCUGGGCGGAGAGGAUGACCAGACACACUGGAACUUAGACACGGUCCACACGCCUACGGGAGGCAGCAGUGGGGAAUAUUGCACAAUGGGCGCAAGCCUGAUGCAGCCAUGCCGCGUGUGUGAAGAAGGCCUUCGGUUUGUAAAGCACUUUCAGCGGGGAGGCGUUACCCGCAGAAGAAGCACCGGCUAACUCCGUGCCAGCCGCCGCGGUAAUAC